rnacentral:lncRNA from 1 species
UGUUUUUAUUUAAUUUUUCGGACUUAUAUGUUUUUUUUGUUUUGUUUUAUUAUACAUUUUACUAUUAUUGUUUUGUUGGAUGUUUUUCUAUUUUGCUGUAUUUUUAUCUUAUUUUAUUUUUUCUAUCUUCUUAUUAGUGUGCUCAGAACCAUGUACUUAAUUUAGGAUCUUUUACAAUUCCAGAUUUCACAAUUUCUGCAAAAUCAUUCAAAUUCAAGGCAAUUUCAGUUCUCUUCCUCCCUUAUGAUAUUUUGCUUCUUGUGAUUCUAUUUGUUUGUACAUUGAAAGCAAUGUAAAUCUUAAAUGUGGGGUAGAUUUUAUAUAUUUAUGCGAUAUAGUCCCUGAAUUGUU